rnacentral:rRNA from 1 species
AACGGAGGAUGCGAGCGUUAUCCGGAUUUAUUGGGUUUAAAGGGUGCGUAGGCGGACUGUCAAGUCAGCGGUAAAAUUGAGAGGCUCAACCUCUUCCCGCCGUUGAAACUGGUGGUCUUGAGUGGAUGAGAAGUACGCGGAAUGCGUGGUGUAGCGGUGAAAUGCAUAGAUAUCACGCAGAACUCCGAUUGCGAAGGCAGCGUACCGGCAUCCAACUGACGCUGAGGCACGAAAGCGUGGGGAGCAAACAGG